GUGGGGAAUAUUGGACAAUGGCCGGAAGGCUGAUCCAGCCAUGCCGCGUGAAGGAUAAGGUCCUAUGGAUUGUAAACUUCUUUUGAGAGGGAGCAAUAAGGUGUACGCGUACACCGAUGAGAGUACCUUUCGAAUAAGCAUCGGCUAACUCCGUGCCAGCAGCCGCGGUAAUACGGAGGAUGCGAGCGUUAUCCGGAUUUAUUGGGUUUAAAGGGUGCGUAGGCGGUUUUUUAAGUCAGCGGUGAAACGCAAGGGCUCAACCCUUGACCUGCCGUUGAAACUGGAGGACUUGAAUGCGGAUGCUGUGGGAGGAAUGUGUGGUGUAGCGGUGAAAUGCAUAGAUAUCACACAGAACACCGAUUGCGAAGGCAUCUCACAAAUCCGUGAUUGACGCUGAGGCACGAAAGUGUGGGGAUCAAACAGG
rnacentral:rRNA from 1 species